AUGGAGACGUUAGAUGUUUCCAUAUUGCAGUUCUUUAUAAGACCACAUAUGGCUUCUUAGAUCCACAUUUCAUUCAACCAGUUUCGAAUACUAUAGAUGAACAGACAGGGUAUAUCAACGUCACCAUGCAAUAUGGCAAAAAACAAUGCUAUCUAGCGCCAUAUAUUUUAAAUGACCAUUGGAUGUUGAUGGCAAUUUGUCCUCAACUUAAUGAAAUCU